rnacentral:tRNA from 1 species
CAAUUAGAAAGCGAAAAUUUGCAGUUAGUUUCGACCUAACCUUUGGUCCAACCUCUAAUU